rnacentral:piRNA from 1 species
UGGGACAUGUGUCCACAAGGCCUACAAUCC